rnacentral:tRNA from 1 species
UCCCUGGUGGUCUGGUAGCUAAGACUUGGCACUCCCAAUACAGGGGGCCCAAGUUCAAUUCCUGGUCAGGGAA